UUGCGAAGCUGUUACGAAACUGCACUCCACGCCCUAAAGUGCUAUGACGUCACGAUAUUUCAUAUCAGAGCAACGAAAUGAAGACUAGUCUCUCAUUCAUGGCGCUAGUUGCUGUUUGCAAUACUUGGUUGCAAUAUUUGGUGGAUCAAGCAGUGUUGUUACUUUUCAUCUGAGCUUCGUCACGCAGGUUCAAGUUGAAGAGACCCGUGGGAAAGUUUUCGCCGGCCAUCUUCAAAUGAGAAACGUGCAGUCUGCUUGAGGGCAAAUUUCACGGACAAUUGGGCUUGAGUACUUUCAGAAGCCUAAUAACGCGGAAACAUUUGAAAGAAGGUUGUAGACAAAGCCAACAUAUUUCGACAAUAAAUUGAAGGCAAACAAU